UACGGAGGGGGCUAGCGUUGUUCGGAAUUAUUGGGCGUAAAGGGCGCGUAGGCGGCGGAGUAAGUCAGACGUGAAAUCCCUCGGCUCAACCGAGGAACUGCGUCUGAAACUGCUCUGCUUGAGGCCGGGAGAGGAGAGUGGAAUUCCCAGUGUAGCGGUGAAAUGCGUAGAUAUUGGGAGGAACACCGGUGGCGAAGGCGGCUCUCUGGACCGGUUCUGACGCUGAGGCGCGAAAGCUAGGGGAGCAAACAGG
rnacentral:rRNA from 1 species